GUUGAGAUAAAAUAGAUAAUUUAAGAAACUUGCUCAAGAUCACACAGAAGAAAAGAGUGGGGCUGAAGUCUGAACCCCUGUGCCAAUGUUGGACUUCUGCACUCUGCUACCUUGCCUGGACCCUGCCCUUUUCUGCACACUUCUUUCUCGAGGACAUGGAAAGGAAAAAGAAAGUGCUUAUUUCCUGUGCAAACCAGUGGCCCAAUGACAGAGACAAAUAAUGCGCAAAGAAAUUAAUUACAAGUUACAAAAUGGAAUGAUGAACACAUUCUACAACGUACUGGACUCUGGAGUAACAAAUGGAUGUCAGUGAUGAGAACUCUCCUGUAGAAUGCCCUAAAAAAACUUGGAAGGAUCUUUGUAAAAUAGAAUUCACCUUUUCUGUUACCAACCUGUGAAGGUGAGGCACAGUGAAGAGUAAACAGUCUAAGUUCCAGGGUUGGCUGUUCCUUGAUAACGAACCAGGUUUCCUAAGUACUGACUUCAUGCUCUUUCCAUUGUUUUCUAGAUUUUCUUAGCAAGCUGACCUUCAAAUUACCCAGCGGUAAGUAGCCUUUUAUAGUUCUCUUAUGAUGGAUGCCCUCUUGUUUUUUUUUUUCUUCUCAUGACUUUAGGAACUUGAAUUCCUGGAGAUGACCAGCAACCAGCCUGCAUUCCUUCCUCCACGCAGCCAUCAGUCUUUGGUCUUCAGCACUCUCCUUCAAAAGUUGACUAGUGACAUUUAUCGAAAUAGCAAAAUCUUUCAAAAGUGACAAGGAUCUUUCUUUUUCCACGUCUAACUAAAAGAUCAACUGUCACAGCACAAGAAAUGAAUGUGAUGAGGAAAAGCAAACAAAUGAAAAUGCCAAGUCAUUCCAAUUGGGUCAGUAAUUGGUAAGAGACCACAGGAAAUGUAUCUGGUUCUACCUAAUUAAUAUCUUCAUGGCACUAUGGUCACGUGCCACAUAAUGAAGUUUGGGUUAUAACUGACUACGUAUGUAAUGAUGACCCCAUCUGAUUAUAAUGAGACUGAAAAAUUCUUUUAUCUAGUGACAUUCCAGCUGUCCCUA
rnacentral:lncRNA from 1 species